UAAGCAUAUCAAUAAGCGGAGGAAAAGAAACCAACAGGGAUUGCCUUAGUAACGGCGAGUGAAGCGGCAAAAGCUCAGAUUUGAAAUCUCUUUUAAUUAUUAAAAGCGAAUUGUAAUCUGUAGAAGGUUGAAUGGUUGAACGACUGAUUUAAGUUUCCUGGAAUAGAACAUCAUAGAGGGUGAGAAUCCCGUGAUUAUCAGUUUCUAAGCCAAUUAAUUCACCUUUCGACGAGUCGAGUUGUUUGGGAAUGCAGCUCUAAAUGGGUGGUAAAUUUCAUCUAAAGCUAAAUAUCUGCCAGAGACCGAUAGCGAACAAGUAGAGUGAUCGAAAGAUGAAAAGCACUUUGAAAAGAGAGUUAAAUAGUACGUGAAAUUGUUGAAAGGGAAGCGCUUGCAAUUAGACUUGAUAUUUAAUUUCAGCUUGCUCAUGGGCAAGUGUAUUUAUUAUUUAUCAGGCCAGCAUCAGUUUGGAGAGGUUCAUAAAGAUAAGUGGAAUGUAGCAACCAUUUCGGUGGUUGUGUUAUAGACAUUUAUAUCAUGGAUUUAUUCUGGACUGAGGUCUGCCCUUUAUGGAAGGAUGCUGGCAUAAUGAUUGUAAGCGGCCCGUCUUGAA
rnacentral:rRNA from 1 species